CAGCUGCUGGCCUACACCACAGUCACAGAAAUGCUGGAUCCAAGACAUACCUGCAAGCUAUGCCACAGUUUAUGACAAUGCCAGAUCCCUAACCCACUGAGCAAGGCCAGGGAUCAAACCUGCAUCCUUACAGAUAUUGUCAGGAUCUUAACCUGCGGAGCCAAAACAAGAACUCCUAUUUUGUUCUUUUUGAUGGAUGAUUAUUAUUCCAUUGUAUAUGUACCACAUCUUCUUAACCCAUUUAUCUGUCAUAAAUCAUAUUUCAAACAAUUAGAAAGCUUGUAAUCAAACAAAUUUCUAAAUAAAGACAUAAAGAGUGACAUCGAUACAGAUAUUUUAAUUAAGAUUUUAAUUAAAUAUAAUCAUUUGAUAUUUUCAUAAUGCUGUAAAAAUGUACUUGGUUGAAAUAGUCAUGGCAGAAGAAAAUAUCAUGAAAUUUUGUUUUGCUAGUUCUUUUUAAAUAAUGUAGAUAUUCAAUAUUUCUCUUUUGAAUACUGAUCAUCUCUCUUUCAUUGUAAAUAAGAUAUGACCAACAGUCCUUUAAAACAACUUUUUAAAUCAUCCAAAAGAAAUUUUAAAAUGAUAUUUUAUUAGGAGUGGAAAAAGUUAACCAUCUUGGAGAAUAGAAACUUUCAUAAUAUGCCUAUAUAUCCACACCAUCUUGCCAGUUUUUCUUGUUCCCCAUCAUUUACUGGAAGUCUAAUAACUACAUUUGAAAGAAAAAAUAAACUGGAAGACAUAAACACAAAAUACUGCUAGAUCUUCAUUGUUUGUGUUUUGAUUUAUAAAUGGCAUUGAAAUCAUUAUUCACUAUACAGUCUUUUUUUUUAUUACUCAAUGAAUUUACUACAUUUAUAGUUGUGCAAUGAUCAUUACAAUCCAGUUUUAUAGGAUUUCCAUCCCACAACUCCAGCGCAUCCCCGCACCCUCCGAACUGUCUCCUUUUGAAAUCAUAAGUUCUUCAAAGUCUGUGAGUCAGCAUCUGUUCUGCAAAGAAGUUCAGUCUGUCCUUUUUUCAGAUUCCACAUGUCAGUGAAAGCAUUUGAUGUUGGUGUCUCAUUUUCUGACUGACUUCACUUAGCAUGAUAGUUUCUAGGUCCAUCCAUGUUUCUGAAAAUGAUGUUGUUGCAUUCCUUUUAAUGGCUGAGUAAUAUUCCAUUAUAUAUGUGUACCACAUCUUCUUGAUCCACUCCUCUGUCAAUGGGCAUUUAGGUUUUUCUAUGUCUUGGCUGUUGCAUUAUAGUGCUGCAAUGAACAUAAGAGUACAUGUGUCUUUUCAAGUCAUGGUUUUCUCUGAAUAGAUGCCCAGGAGUGGGAUUGCUGGAUCAAAUGGUAGUUCUAUUUCUAGUUUUCUGAGAAAUCUCCAUACUGUUUUCCACAGUGGUUGUGCCAAUUUACAAUGCCACCAACAGUGUACUAGGGUUCCUUUUUCUCCACACCCUCUCUAGCACUGAUUGUUUGUAGACAUUUGGAUGAUAGCCAUUCUGGCUGGUGUAAGGUGGUACCUCAUAGUGGUUUUGAUUUGCAUUUCUCUAGUAAUGAUGAUGCUGAACGUCUUUUCAUGUGUUUUUUGGCCACCUGUAUGUCUUCUUUGGAGAACUGUCUGUUUAGAUCUUCUGCCCAUUUUUGGAUGGGGUUAUUUGUUUUUUUUGGUAUUGAGCUACAGAAGGUGUUUAUAAAUUUUGGAGAUUAAUCCCUUGUCAUUUGAUUCAUUUGUAAAGAUUAUCUCCCAAUCUGUGGGUUGUCUUUUCAUUUUGUUUAGGGUUUCCUUUGCUGUGCAGAAACUUUUAAGUUUAAUUAAGUCUCAUUUGUUUAUUUUUAAUUGUCAUUACUCUAAGAGGUGGAUCUGAGAAGAUGUUGCUGUCAUUGAUGUCAGCGAGUAUUUGGCCUAUGUUUUCCUCUAAGAGGUUUAUAGUGUCUGGUUUUAUAUCUAGGUCUUUAAUCCAUUUGGAGUUUAUUUUUGUGUAUGGUGUUAGGGAGUGUUCUAAUUUCAUUCUUUUCCAUGUGGCUGUCCAGUUUUCCCAGCACCAUUUAUUGAACAGGCUGUCCUUUCUCCAUUGUAUAUUCUUACCUCCUUUGUCAUAGAUUAGUUAGCUGUAGGUGCAUGGGUUGAAUUCUGGGCCUUCUAUCCUGUUCCACUGAUCUAUAUUUCUGUCUUUGUGCCAGUACCAUAUGGUUUUGAUGACUGUAGCUUUGUAGUAUAGUCUGAAGUCAGGGAGCCUGAUUCCUCCAGCUCCAUUUUUCUUUUUCAGGAUAUCUUUGGCUAUUCUGGGUCUUUUGUCUGCUUCCAAACAAACUUUAAUAUUUUGUUUGAGUUCUUUGAAAAAUGUCCUUGGUAAUUUGACAGGAAUUGAAUUGAAUCUGUAUAUUGCCUUGAGUAGUAAGUCAUUUUGAUAAUAUUGACUCUUCCAAUCCAAGAGCAUGGUAUGUCUUUCCAUUUAUUUGUGUCAUCUUUGAUUUCUUUCAUCAGUGUCUUAUAGUUUUCAGAGUACAGAUCUUUUGUCUCUUUACGUAGGUUUACGCCUAGGUAUUUUAUUCUUUUGGAUGUGAUGGUAAAGGGGAUUGCUUCCCUAAUUUCUCUUUCUGAUCUUUCAGUGCUAAUAUAUAGAAAUGCCAUUGAUUUCUGUGUAUUAAUUUUGUAUCCUGCAACUUUGCCAAAUUCAUGGAUGAGCUCUAACAGUUUUCUGGUAGAGUCUUUAGGAUUCUCUAGGUAUAGUAUGUCAUCUGCAAAUAGUGAUAGUUUUACUUCUUCCUUUCCAAUUUGGAUUCCUUUUAUCUCUUACUUCUCUGAUUGCUGUGGCUAGGACUUCCAAAACUAUGUUGAAGAGUAGUGGCGAGAGUGGACAUCUUUGUCUUGUUCCUGAUCUCUGUGGGGAUUCUUUUAGCUUUUCACCACUGAGAAUGAUGUUCACUGUGGGUUUGUCAUAUAUGGCCUUUAUUAUGUUGAGGUAGUUUCCCUCUAUGCCCACUUUCUGAAGGGUUUUUAUCAGAAAUGGGUGUUGGCUUUUGUCAAAGGCUUUUUCCGCAUAUAUUGAGAGGACCAUAUGAUUUUUAUUCUUCAGUUUAUUAAUGUGGUAUAUCAUUAAUAAACUGUGGAUUUGUGGAUAUUGAAGAACCCUUGCAUCCCUGGGAUAAAUCCCACUUGAUCAUGAUGUACAAUGCUUUUAAUGUAUUGUUGGAUGCGGCUUGCUAGUAUUUUGUUGAGGAUUUUUGCAUCGAUGUUCGUCAGUGAAAUUGGCCUGUAAUUUUCGUUUUUUGUGGUGUCUUUGUCUGGUUUUGGUAUCAGGGUGAUGGGAACCUCAUAAAAUGAGUUUGGGAGUAUCCCUUCCUCUGCAAUUUUUUGAAAUAGUUUCAGAAAGAUAGGUAUUAGCUCUUCCCUAAAUGUUUGAUAGAAUUUGCCUGUGAAGCCAUCUGGUCCUGGACUUUUGUUUGUUGGAAGUUUUCUAAUCCCAGUUUCAAUUUCAGUUCUUGUGAUUGGUCCAUUCAUCUUUUCUAUUUCAUCUUGAUUUAGUCUCGGAAGAUUAUACUUUUCUAAGAAUUUGUCCAUUUCUUCUAGGUUUUCCAUUUUAUUGGCAUAUAGUUGCAUAUAGCAGUCCCUUAUGAUCCUUUGUAUUUCUGUGAUGUCCGUUUGUUACUUCUCCAUUUUUAUUUCUAAUUUUAUUGAUUUGAGUCUUCUCUCUUUUUUUCUUGAUAAGUCUGGCUAAGGGUUUAUCAAUUUGGUUGAUCUUUUGAAAGAACCAGCUUUUCGUUUUAUUGAUCUUUUCUAUGGUUUUCUUCGUUUGUAUUUCAUUGAUUUCUGCUCUGAUCUUUAUGGUUUCUUUCCUUCUACUAACUUUAAGUCUUGUCUCUUCUCUCUCUAGCUGCUUUAGAUGUAAAGUUGGCUUGUUUAUUUGAGCUUUUCUUGUUUCCUGAGGUGGGCUUGUAUUGCUAUAAACUUUCCUCUUAGAAUGGCUUUUUGCUGCAUCCCAUAGGUUUUGGAGUGUUGUAUCUUUGUUGUCAUUUGCUUCUAGGUAUUUUUUAAUUUCCUCUUUGAUUUCUUCAGUGAUCCAUUGGUUGUUUAGUAGCAUGUUGUUUAGUCUCCACAUGUUUGUGUUUUUUGCAGUUUUUUUCUUGUUGUUGAUUUCCAGUCAUAAAGUGUUGUGGUCGGAAAAGAUGCUUGAUAUGAUUUAAAUUUUCUUAAAGAUACCAAUGUAUGAUUUGUAGCCUAGGAUGUGAUCAAUCUUAGAGAAUGUUCCAUGUGCCCUUGAGAAGAAUGUGUAUUCUGUUGCUUUUGGAUGGAAUGUCCUAUAAAUAUCUACUACGUCCAUUUUGUCUAAUGCUUCACUCAGGGCCUGUGUUUCCUUACUGAUUUUCUAUCUGGAUGAUCUGUCCAUUGCUGUAAGUGGGGUGUUAAAAUCCCCCACUAUUACUGUUACUGUUGAUUUGUCCUUUUAAGGUUGUUAGCAGUUGCCUUAUAUAUUGUGGUGAACCUAUGUUGGGUGCAUAGAUAUUUAAAAUUGUUAUAUCUUCUUCUAUGAUUGAUCCUUUGAUCAUUAUAUAGUGACCUUUCUUGUCCCUUAAAAUAUUCUUCAUUUUAAAGUCUAUUUUGUCUAUUGUGAGUAUUGCUACUCCAGCUUUCUUUUGAUUCCUGUUUGCAUGAAAUAUUUUCUUCCAUCCUCUCACUUUCAAUUUGUAUGUGUCCCUAGAAGUGAAGUGGGUCUCUUAUCCGAAGUUUGGAUGGAUCUGUUCAGGCUGUGAAAACUUGGUAUAUUUUAGGAAACAUUUUACUUCUAUUAAAUGAUGAAAUCAUUGUACCAAAAAAGAUGUAUUUGCUUAAUAAAUUAAAAAUAAGUAGAAUAAACAAGAUAUGCUGAAUGGACUUGCAGGAAUUAUAAGGGAUGGGAAAUUUUUUGGGAUAUUUUCAUUCUAGCCUUAUUAAAAAAAGAAAACAAAAAGUAAUUUAUGUCAGAGUUCCCGUUGUGGCGCAAUGGUUAACGAAUCCAAGUAGGAACCAUGAGGUUGCAGGUUCGGUCCCUGGCCUUGCUCAGUGGGUUGGGGAUCCGGCGUUGUUGUGAGCUGUGGUGUAGGUUGCAGACACGGCUGGGAUCCUGCAUUGCUGUGGCUCUGGCAUAGGCCGGUGGCUACAGCUCUGAUUAGACCCCUAGCCUGGGAACCUCCAUAUGC
rnacentral:lncRNA from 1 species